GGGUGCAAUCAUACCAGCACUAAUGCACCAAAUCCCAUCAGAACUCCGAAGUUAAGUGUGCUUGGGCGAGAGUAGUACUAGGAUGGGUGACCUCCUGGGAAGUCCUCGUGUUGCACCCC
rnacentral:rRNA from 1 species